AAAAAAAGCCUGAGGAAAGGGUUAAUUUGAUAGAUUAAAUCACGCUAACAGCAUUAGAAUAACCCU
rnacentral:tRNA from 1 species